CCCAGUAGAGAAGUACAUAGAGCAAUAGGGAAGAUGCUUACAAGAACUUAAGCCAGAGUCCAAUGCCAAAAAAGGCUAGAGGGACCAGCUCUCAGAGGUAAAUGAAAUCUGGUAUUUUGCUGGUGGACCUUUUGCCUGUAAGGAGAAGGGGAGGCUGAAGAGGAUCUACCUUGAGUUACUCAUUAUGAUGCUGGAAUCCUGGGAGUGAAGUUCUUCCAGGUCCGGUUAAGGUGUACCUCUCCCCAUCAAAACUGGCACAUAAAUGGCAGCUGUGCCUAGAAGAGGGAUAAUUUAAAGGUAGUGAUGUGGGGCAUGGUGCAGCUC